CCUACGGGAGGCAGCAGUGGGGAAUAUUGGACAAUGGGGGCAACCCUGAUCCAGCCAUGCCGCGUGUGUGAAGAAGGCCCUCGGGUUGUAAAGCACUUUCAGUGAGGAAGAACGCCUGGUGGUUAAUACCCAUCAGGAAAGACGUCACUCACAGAAGAAGCACCGGCUAACUCCGUGCCAGCAGCCGCGGUAAUAUGGAGGGUGCGAGCGUUAAUCGGAAUUACUGGGCGUAAAGCGCGCGUAGGUGGCUUGAUAAGCCGGUUGUGAAAGCCCCGGGCUCAACCUGGGAACGGCAUCCGGAACUGUCAAGCUAGAGUGCAGGAGAGGAAGGUAGAAUUCCCGGUGUAGCGGUGAAAUGCGUAGAGAUCGGGAGGAAUACCAGUGGCGAAGGCGGCCUUCUGGACUGACACUGACACUGAGGUGCGAAAGCGUGGGUAGCAAACAGGAUUAGAUACCCUUGUAGUC
rnacentral:rRNA from 1 species